GGUAAAAUGGCCGAAAUAGGUGCAAGGUUGUAGCCCCUGUUAUAAAGGUUAGAGCCCUUUUUUUACCA
rnacentral:tRNA from 1 species